rnacentral:lncRNA from 1 species
GAGCAAUACAGUCUCUAAUGCAGUCACAGCAGUUAAGGCUAUUGUAGGUUUAACUGAAUUGCUUAAUGAAGGGCAGGUAUUGCUUAACUGAAUCUUAACUGAAGAUGUGAAGUUUAUUCACCAGAAGGGAAGGUAUUCUGUCUGAGGCAGCCUGUAUGUUUGUUAUAGGAGUUAUGUGCUUAAAAUUAAACCCUAAACUUAAUACAGCAGCUUAUCAGUUAUUUUAAAUUUGAGCAACCUUAACACUUGAUAAUGCUUAAAGCAGGUACAUUGGAACUUUAUGCAAAUCUCCUGUAAUUUACAAGCUGAGUACAACCUGUAUUUAAUGAGAAAGAAGGAAGCCUGUUGCCAAUUAAACUUGAGGAGUACAAUUUGUAGCAUUGUAUCCUCACUUGGCAUCAUAACCCAUCUUGCCACCUGUCAUCAACAGGAUGAUGCUAUAUCAUUGCUGCUCACUGACCGGUAUGUGUUGUGAACUUUCUGCCCUGACCCAUGGAUCAUGAGAAGAGUACAAACUUCAUAACCCUUCAGCUCAGCACAUCACUAAUUUACACCAGCAGUAGCCAAGACUAAACCUGUCAUUUAGGCACAGGGUAUCUAGAAUGAUUGCUGGCAGAUGCUUCAUGCCCUGCUUUGGGCAGUCUGAGCAGAAAAGCCUACAGCCUCCCCAAGUUUCCAAUGAAUUGUGCUGUCCUUAUUGCUUUUCUUAAUCUCUACUGCAUUAUUUAUGUUAUAUAGGGUAGGAAGAUUUGGUAUUUCAUUUUCUAAUGUUACAGACAAAUCAAUUCUUGGUAAGUUAACCUUCCUUUGUUAGGUAGUCUAUAGCAAGAGAUGGGAUUUUCCAGUGAUCUUCCAUCUGAGAAUUUAAAUUUCUCUUACUUUAGGCCACCUUUUGCAUAAAGGCUUUCCAUAAGAUUUGCUCCUUAGCUUAGCACAGUUAAAAAAUUCCAUAAAUUUAGGCAGUUCCAUACCUUGUAUAUAUUCCAAAUCUGACUUCUUUUUUUCUAUUUUCUGCUUGGGUUUUUUGUUUGUUUGUGUUUGUUUGUUUGUUUAUUUGUUUUUAGUUCAAACCCAAGUAGUUGGAAAAUGUUACUUUAUAAAACUGCUUGAAAUAACAGAAAAAGUGUUCUGAAGCACCUUGUGAUUUAGAUGUUCAGAAAUAUGUGUCCUCUGUCUUUAAGUUGUGUCUUCAAAGUAACGUCCAAAGUAGUGGCCCAGACCAAACGAAAAACUAUUUCCAUAAAGAUAGUAGUUUAGUGCAAGUUAUCCCUUGCUAGUAGCACCAUCUUUUAAGCUGCCCUCUUCAUUCAGAGUCAGUGAGCCCAUCACCAUCAGAAGGUGGUGGCACAAUACAUCUCAGCAUCAGUUCUCUAGAGCUCUGUCAAAAGAAUCUGUUGAACCAUUUUAAGAGGAUGGAUAGGUU